CAAGAGUAAAAUUCUUGGCCAAAGGAAAAGGAAAGAACACCCUUCCAAUUAUCUAAGAAGAUUAAGGUACUUUCAAUCCCGAGCACGAGUCGUAAAGUUGGAGUCGAGUUCGAGAAUCGAAGGAUGUGUUCAUAUGGAAGGCGUGUGGAUCUUGUGUUCUCUUAAUCUAGUCAUGUGGAUUCACUUAUU